rnacentral:rRNA from 1 species
UGGGGAAUAUUGCACAAUGGGGGAAACCCUGAUGCAGCGACGCCGCGUGAAGGAAGAAGUAUCUCGGUAUGUAAACUUCUAUCAGCAGGGAAGAAAAUGACGGUACCUGACUAAGAAGCCCCGGCUAACUACGUGCCAGCAGCCGCGGUAAUACGUAGGGGGCAAGCGUUAUCCGGAUUUACUGGGUGUAAAGGGAGCGUAGACGGAGCAGCAAGUCUGAUGUGAAAGGCAGGGGCUCAACCCCUGGACUGCAUUGGAAACUGUUGGUCUUGAGUACCGGAGGGGUAAGCGGAAUUCCUAGUGUAGCGGUGAAAAUGCGUAGAUAUUAGGAGGAACACCAGUUGCGAAGGUGGCUCUCUGGACUGUAACUGACACUGAGGCACGAAAAGCGUGGGGAGCAAAACAGGAUUAGAUACCC